GCCUCUUUAGCUUAGGGGUAGAGCGUUGCACUUGUAUUCCACAUACGAGUGAUGCAAAGGUCAGCGGUUCAAUUCCGCUAGGAGGCA
rnacentral:tRNA from 2 species